UACGUAGGGCGCAAGCGUUGUCCGGAAUUAUUGGGCGUAAAGAGCUCGUAGGUGGCUUGUCGCGUCUGCCGUGAAAACCCGAGGCUCAACCUCGGGCGUGCGGUGGGUACGGGCAGGCUAGAGUGUGGUAGGGGAGACUGGAACUCCUGGUGUAGCGGUGAAAUGCGCAGAUAUCAGGAAGAACACCGAUGGCGAAGGCGGGUCUCUGGGCCAUUACUGACACUGAGGAGCGAAAGCAUGGGUAGCGAACAGG
rnacentral:rRNA from 1 species